rnacentral:rRNA from 1 species
CCUGGCUCAGAACGAACGCUGGCGGCAGGCUUAACACAUGCAAGUCGAGCGCCCCGCAAGGGGAGCGGCAGACGGGUGAGUAACGCGUGGGAAUCUACCCUUGACUACGGAAUAACGCAGGGAAACUUGUGCUAAUACCGUAURUGUCCUUCGGGAGAAAGAUUUAUCGGUCAAGGAUGAGCCCGCGUUGGAUUAGCUAGUUGGUGGGGUAAAGGCCUACCAAGGCGACGAUCCAUAGCUGGUCUGAGAGGAUGAUCAGCCACAUUGGGACUGAGACACGGCCCAAACUCCUACGGGAGGCAGCAGUGGGGAAUAUUGGACAAUGGGCGCAAGCCUGAUCCAGCCAUGCCGCGUGAGUGAUGAAGGCCCUAGGGUUGUAAAGCUCUUUCACCGGAGAAGAUAAUGACGGU